rnacentral:rRNA from 1 species
AACUAUGGCCAUGGCACCCUGAACAUGCCGGAUCUCGGCUGAUCUUGGCUGAUCUCAGAAGCUAAGCAGGGUUGGGCCUGGUUAGUACUUGGAUGGGAGACCAUCUAGGAAUACCAGGCGCUGUAGGCA